GCCGAAGUGGCGAAACUGGUAGACGCGUACGGCUUAGAACCGUAUGCCAGCAAUGGCUUGUGGGUUCGAGUCCCACCUUCGGCACCA
rnacentral:tRNA from 15 species